UCCUAGGCGAGAGGCAUGGGGAGGAGAACUUUUUCACAGCAAACUUAGCACUUAGAGUAAUUAGGCAACUUUCCGUUUUUAUUAUUUCGAGCUGCGACUCAAUUAGGUUUAGCCGUCUUAGGGUUGCUAGAACUAGGAAUCUCGCCGACAGCUCUCGAGCCCAGGCUUAUACCUUGUUGUAAAAGCUCAUACGCAAAUUCGGAAUAAGACUUCUCUUUGCUCUAUUUUUACGAUCUUUUAUACUUUGUCGUUGUUAUCUCGAGUUUUGAUUGCUUAGCGUGUGGUAUUAGCAGAUAUCCGGGACCUCUGGGAAAUUAGAGUUUUCCUAGUUUCCUAAUUUAAACGGAAAUCGACAGGGCGAAUUUCGGUUCCUACAAAGCUAUCCACAAAAGUGAAACUAUCUUUAGAAGAUUCCAUAUGCAGUCCUAAUAGCUCAGCAGUGUCUAUGGCCAUGAUGCUGACUGCAGAUCCAGUAUCGCAUAGGGCAUUUGGUAAAUGGUGGCUAUGUAUAGAGCAUGGAAUCAGGAACUUUCCAGGAUCUUGUUCCUUCUUCAGUGUCCUCUUGGGUUUACGGCUGACCUUGUUGAAUAGGAGCUCAAUGUCCUUAUCAGUCUCUUUGCUCUCUCUGAUGAAAUUACCAAGUUUAUACUUAUGAUAUGCAUCCUCACAAGACAUAUCCUUAGGAACCCUCUUCACCCUCUUGUGAAAUCCUUCAAGUUCCUCUUUAUUAACUUCUCUCCUGAGGUGUUUGGGAAUAUUUCGUUUCCUAGAUUUCACUCUCUUCUAGACUAGAAUUUCUUCUCUCGUUGCCUGCCUUUCCAUGGCAGGUUCAUAUCCGUCUGUUUGGUGUCGACUGAUACCUGGUAGAUGUCGUCGAUCGAUACCUGGUAGAUGUCGUCGAUCGAUACUCUCAACGAAAGAGGUUUCAGCUAGGGUUGAUUGCUCUUACUCUGGUGUUUCUGCAUAUUGUUGACUUGUCUUCUCUGUUGUCUUCAAGCAAACUGAAGUCUGAGAUGGAUUUCGGGUUGCUUUCAAGCGGUGUGCAUCAAGAUCUGGUAAAUGUACUCGGUAUGGCAUUGACAGUUGUCGAUCGCUGUUUAUCUGCUUUUUUCGAUCGACGCUGCCGUGUUGGUGUAGGUCGAUUUUUUCGUGUUGUUGCCGAUUGACGUUCACUGAUAUAAAUCGAGCUAGGGUGGGAGGAUGAAGGUGUUGAGCGUCAAAAUAUGAGUGGCUCUGAAAUCCAACCGUUUUGUCUGAUCCCAAAAGUGGUGUCGAUCGAUGCUCGGCUGAUGAUGUCGAUCGGUGCUCAGCUGUUGAUGUUGAUCGAUGCUCAGUUGUUGGUGUCGGUCGAUGCUCGGUUGUUGGUGUCGGUCAAUGCUCAGUUGUUGGUGUCGGUUGACACCAGUACGAGCUGCCUAUGGACACAGAGCUUUUGACUAGGAAAGCAUCUUCUUCCAGCUUCUCUUGCUCGAGCACUUCCCCAAGGUCAUUAUCUGAGAUGGUAUUAACCUGGUGCCUCUCAGUUUCCAUAGCUUUCUCUUUGACCAGAGCUUCUUGCUUCUUCACAGCUUUUGCAGUCUGAGAAACCUGGGUAUCUAGCAUCAUGAUAUGGGCAUCUAAGGAUUCAAAUUUUUCAUUCAGCUCUUUGUAGAGAACAUCCAACCUCAGAUUUAAGUAUGCACUCGUCUUCUACUGAAUUUUCAGAACCUUCUCUAUCAUAGAUUCCAUCUUUCCUAUAUAGCCCUGAUCAUCAUCCUUCUCUGUAAAAUGUUCUACCAACGAGACCAUGUACAAAACCAAUCUCAGCCUCAAACAUCUUGUCACUAUCCAUUGCAGCUGAUUUUAUACUGUGCAUAUCCAGAUUUUUGGAACCCUUGCUAGACAUUAAGUUCUCAAUCAGUCUCUUAGCUUCCUCUGGGGUUCUUGUCUUGAAGUUUCCUUCGCUUGCAGCAUCCAGCAUCAUAUUAUAUCGCACAUCAAUACCCUUGCAGAACUUCUUCAACAGCUAAAUCUCCGUAAAACCAUGAUGUGGACAGUCCCUUUGGUAUCUCCUAAACCUUUCCCAAGAGCUUUUGAAAGCUUUUGUAGGUCCCUGAGAGAAUGUCCAAAUUUUAUCUCGCAUCUCUUCAGCCCUUGCAUCAUCUAAAAAUUCAGACAUAAACACAGUCCUGGCAUCAUUCCAUGGAGUGAGAGAUCCUGGUGGUAGGCAUCUCAGCCACUUUUUAGCAUUCCCAGAGAGAGAAUAUUUGAACAGCUUGCAGAUGAUGUAGUCUUUGUUGCUUCAUCCUUCUGGUUGCCAGACUCAAAGUCCUCGAGUGUCUCAAUAUGAUCCGAGGGAUUUUCAUCAGGAAGACUACGAUAAGGGUGCUGACCCACAUGAGAGAAGUGUGUGGGGGUGUAUAUGAAAUCCCUAGAUUUGUAGAGGUUGAAUAGCAGACCUGUUGGUGUAGAACUGACUAGGCCUAGUCAAAUCUCCUAACGAUCUCUGAAGAGGAACUUUAGCAUCCUCGGUGGCAGCAGAUGGCUCAAGGAUUGCAGUUCCUUGUCCAUCUAUCUUCUGACCUUCUGCAUUACACAGUUGACCUCCAGGGUCGUGCAGGUCUCCAUUCUCAUCCCUCUGUAGCACAAGUGUUGCGACCAUGUCUGCUCGCGGAUUGGUAUCGAUCGAUGUUCGAGUUGAACUGUCGAUCGUUGCUCUAUCACAAGUGUCGAUCGACGUAGUAGAGGUGGUAUCGAUCGACGUAUUAGAGGUAGUAUCGAUCGACGUAGUAGAGGUAUUUUCGAUUGAUGAUGUGUGUUUCUCUUUGCGGAUCGAGCGUUUUAAACGUGUUGGGUCUGAGAAGAAAAGUAAUUCAUCCUUUCUGCUUCUGGUACUGAUAGACUUGUACCUGAAAGACAAGAAAUUUUUUUUUCAUGUAAGUAACUAUGACAGUAAAUAAAGCCCAGACUAAACCUAUUUAUUAAGUCUAAUAGCGAUCAAAGCUCCCCGGCAACGGCGCCAAAUUUGAUAUCACUCAAAUUAUCCUAAGGAGUGAUUUUACUCUUUUAAAUAAGAAGUUUAAUUGUAGUACUUAGGGAUCGAAUCGACAGAGAGCUAGGGCACACAAUAGACUAUAGAAAUCAAGAGUAAGCUAGGCAAACAGUUUAUAAAGUAGUAAAUCAAUGAAAGCAAGGUGAACAAAGUAGUUGUUCGAUUGGUUGAUUGAGGUUGUAAACAAUUAGGAGAAAUAGCUAGACCUAGGGAUUUAUCAAUCAAGAGAUUGAAAACUACAAUUCAAGGAUGCAAAUGGUUUAUAAAUUCAAUUCUAGAACUCAAUUUUAAUAAGUAAGCAAUCCAGCUUUCGCAUGCAAUUACUAAUCAGAUGUCUAAGUCCAAUCUCACAUGUCGCUUGUUGACUUGGAGCGAGCGUCGAUCGAUGCUAUGGCCCGAGCGUCGAUCGAUGCUUCUUUAGACGAGCAUUAACGACCUAAUCGAUUUAGUUCAACUAGAUUCCUAGACCAACUCUCGUAUGCUCCUAGGUAUCUAAUCCAGCAGAGUUCGGGUUCCGUUAAUUGAUUGCACUUUCGUGCCUCUCAACUAUCCUAUGAUUCUAGGUUCAAACAAUUAGUCACACUGUCGUGCUAUUCUAACUAUUACAGAUCCUAGUAUUACAAAUCACCCUGGUGUAGAGAUCUGUAGAUAAUCUAUCAAUCCUAAUUGAUUAUCAGUUUGACAUUAAGCUCAUGAAAUCCCAAAACCUAACAAGAUGAAUUACUCAUACAUGCAAGCAAUAACACAAAUCAUAGUCUGAAUAAUAUAAUAGAUAAGAAAUCAAUGAUAAAACCAAUGGAGUUCCAAUCAAUCUCUGAAGGAGAAUUGAUCUUCUCUCCAAACCUAAGAGAAAACAAUAGAAUAGGAUAAUAGAAAGCUUGUUUAAUGCGUAGCCGUCAACAAUGGCUUAUAAAUCACAUAAAUAGGAUUUUUGGUCGUCUAUGGGUAUUUUGGUAACUUGGUAUGGCUUCUAGGCUUCAAACGGUCUUGAAAUAUGCUUGGCCCACAUUCUGGCAUCACGGUCGAUCGACACCAAUGUUGUGUUGUCGAUCGACAGUCCUUCAUCUCCUCGACAGCUUCCUCUCGCGAGGCAGACUGACCACUCUUCAGUAAAACGGGCAUAACCUCUGUUACAUGAUGCUGAUUGACCUCAAAACGGUGGCAUUGGAAAGGUAACUCAAAGCUAUAUCCUCUGUCAAAAGAUGGGAUCAAUCUAAAGGUAGAAAGUUCUCCAUCCAUAGCUAAAUAUCUGACGCGUCUGUGCAGCUGUGCACAUCAAAAGGCUCUAAAAGACACCAAAAUCACCACAUUCCUCCAAAUAGUCCCUGAACCUGUAUAUACUCUAAGUAUAGUCUAUAUAGAAGUAAAUAUAUAUUAAAACACUUAUAGACCAUGGCUAAAAGAGGGUAAAAUCCAUGGUCUAUCACUGAUCAUCCUGGGACGGAGGAGAGGUUCUUAGAGCUGACCCUGAGCUCUUUGCUUCUUCUUCGAAGUAAAGGGAGUCAAUCUGGCGGCUGGUUUAAGUUUUAUGCUCCUGAUAAACUGAACAUCCUCGUCGUCUUCUCCAGAAACUACGGGCUUAGAACCAGCUUUCUUUGCUGAGAUCUCCUCCAGAGCCUUGUUGAAAUUAGCCAUCGCGUCUUCUCCUGUGGUUCCCGACAUAUUACCUGAGAAACAAUCUCAUGUCAGACUCAGAUAUUGCUCGGGAUAAAGAAAAAGGGCCGAAGACUUACCCCAAAUGCUGCAGCACUCCAAGACUUCUUUACUCACAAGAAAGGUAAUUUGACGACGUUCAACGGGAAGUUUGAAGAUCUGAUCAAUUGCCUCAGGCUUGGUAUACACCGGAUUGGAUUCCUCCUUCAGGUCUGAAAGAUAAAAGUCUGGUGAUUUUGUUUUCCUUAUCUCCUCUCUUCGGCAUCCUGAAAAAAAAAGAUUUAGAUGAUUUCCUAAGAUGCAGAGUGGUAGGUACAUUACCUAUGACCCCACUAUUCUAAUUCAGAGGAAUGAUCACACAUUGUUGGAAACGAGGGGUUGGUAUAUUACUGAUAACCCCACUAUUCGCCUACACUUUGUAAAAAAAAGAAAAAAAAAAGAGAAGAAAAAUCAAAAGAAGAUGAAUCUGAUGGACUACGUCAGCAUCAUUGUUUAUUGGAAUUGAAAUAAGGAAUUCAAAGACGAGAGAUAUAGAGAGAAAAGAAACCAUAAUAAGAAUACAUGUAUACUCAAAUACCUGUUGGGGGUAAGAGUCCAUGUGUCAUUUGAUCGAUACUCCCAAGGUAAAACAUUAACCUUUUUAUAUGUAAGAAAUGAGGUCAGUAGAGGGGUUAGCCAAACAGUAUUAGCUAAGUUGUUGGAUAGAUGGAUUUGGUUGCUAAGCUAAGAUAUGGUAUAUAAACUACCUCUAAAAUUUGAAUUGAUUUGAUGUGGCUUGAAACAUUGCAGAGGUGAUAGUCGUAAGUUUAAAAUUGUGUGAGUAUCUGCGUUUUCAAACCUUUUUCACAUGACUAUUCUAUGUUUUGCUUGAGGACAAGCAAAAGAGUAAGCCUGAGGGAGUUAAUAACCCUGGAUUUUACAACUUUUAUGCCAUGGUAUAUGAUUGUUUUAGAAUAUAUUAUAUGGGUUUGGAGUAUGUUUUAAAUUGUUUUCAGGUUCAAGUACGUUUUGGAGAACUUUGGUGAUUUUGGAGAACUUUGGUGAUUUUGGAGCCUUUUGAGGGGCAAAACUGCACAGAUACGUCAGAUGUUUAUCUAUGGAUGGAGAUCUUUCCACGUGCGAUUGAUCCUAUAUUUUGUCUCAAGAUAGAGCUUUGAGUUAACUUUCCAAUGCCACCGGUUUAAUGUCAAUCAGCAUCCUAUAACAUAACUAAUUUCCGUUUUACUGAAGAGUGGUAUGUCUGCCUCGCGAGAGAAAAUCUUCGAGGAUAAUAAGGAAUGUCGAUCGACGACACAGCGUUGGUGUCCCAUCGACGGUUAUGCCCGAAGACGGGCCGGGUCUUUUUCAUGACCGAAUUAAACCUAGAAGCCACCACAAGUUACCAUAAUACCCUUGGACGACUCAUAACCCUAUUUAUGUGUUUUCUAAGCCAUUGUUGACGGCUACACUUUCUAUUAUUCUUUAUUUUUCUUUUAGGGUUGGAGAGAAGAUUGAUUCUCCUUCAGAGACUGAUUGGAACUCCUUUGGUUUUAUCAUCUUGUUAUUCAAAAUGAUAAUCUGUUAGGAUUUCUAGGGUUUCUUAUUGAUUUCUACACAAGGGUAGCUUGUAAUACCAUGAUCUGGAAUAGUUAGAAAAGCAUGACAAUGUAAUUGAUUGUUUAAACGUAGAAUCAUAGGACAAUUAAGAGGCACAGAAAUGCAAUCAUUUAUUGGAACCCGAACUCUUUUGGAUUACAUACUUAGGCGCAUGCGAGAGUUGGUCUCGGAAUCUAGUUGAACAUAAUCGAUUAGGUCUUUAAUUCUUGUCUGAAGAAGCAUCAAUCGACACUUGGUCCUUGUUCGCACGUGGCAGCUGGAACACAAGACUUAGACAGCUGAUUAGUAAUUGCAUGCGAAAUCUCGAUUACUUACAUAUUGACUAUGAGUUCUAAAGUUGAACCUAUAAAAUCCUUAGCAUCAUUGAAUUUUAGUUUUGAAUCUCUUGGUUGAUAGAUCCCUAUAUCUAGUUAUUUUCUCUUAUUGUUUACAAACCUCAACCAGUCAAACAACUGCCUUGUUCAUCUUAAUUUUAUUUAUUUACUGUUUUAAUACUGAUUGCCUAGCUUAACGUUGAUUUGUAAAGUCUAUUGUGUGUCCACGCUCCAUAUGGAUUUGAUCCCUAAGUACUACAACUGAUUUUCUUAUUUGAGAGAGUAAAGUCACUCCUUAGGAUACUUUGAGUGAUAUCAAAACACAUUUCUUAACCUAGUUCAUAUACUAUUCUUGCAGAUGGGUUUCAUACGUGAAGUUGCCAUAAACGAAAAGAAAGUUGGCUAAGUAAAAAAAGUAAAAUUAUUGGUUGAGUUGCUCUCGUAUAAAUAUGAUAGAAAUGACAUCUUACAAACAUAUUCAGUAUCACACUCAACACGAUAGUAGAGGAACUUUAGCUUUCUUAGAAAACUGUUUUUGCAGCUAAUUUCAUUAUGCUCUUUCUAAGAAAUUUCUGCUUCUUUCUCUUCUUCUGCCCAUAAUGAGUUUUCUGAAACGACCGUUUUGAUCUGUUGGCUCUUUCGAUCUUCAAGGUUGCAUUCAGAUGGCAAGAUCAGGAGUUGUUGGAAUAUGUAGAAGCUUGAAGCAUUGUCGAAUCCUCUUUGCCCAUUGCCCAUUCUUCAUUACCAAUUCCUUAUUGACUAUUUCUCUUCUCAUCAUUUUCUCGUUUGAAUCUUGUCCAAAACUUCUUAGUUUAAUUGCAAUUAGAGUUGUUGUUGAGAUUUUAUGAAGAAAACAAGAAACACUUUGUUUUUUUGUAACUUUUAGCCAAAUGUCGAGGCAAAAACGGUUAACUUGAACACCAGUAUGUUUUGAUGAAACAAAUAUGCUUUUAUCAUUUCCUAGAUAAACAGCACCAAAAACCGCAACUUGGAGCGAGUUGAUGAUUUUUCUGAGAAAAGUCGUAAAAACUUGUAUAAAACGAUCUGAGAACGGAUUUAAAUACGAAACAUUCUAGUUAUGACUUAUAAUGUGAAGCAGCCCAAUUUUAAUGAUGGUUUACUUUGCGUGGAGAGGAAUAUGCAAGAAAACAGGAUAUAGGAAGAUUUUUGGAAAUGAUAAACUCAAAUCUCGACAAAUAAGGAAGAAUUGGAGAAAUUGACGAUAUGAGAAAAAGGAAACACUAACGACUUUGGGAGAGUAUAUAAACAAGACCUUGGAAAUUCAAUAAGGGAACCCAGCAAUGAAAGUUCUGAGAAAUUCAUGUUAGCUUUGGAGAACGUAGGACAUAGGUGGUUAGACUAUCAAGUUUAGACUUGGACGUUUUUUCGCUUUGUUCUAUUGUUUCUCAGUGUUAAUGAGUUUCAGUACUAGCUUUCUGAUGACCUUUUGUCUCGAAAUAUUCUUGAUGAUCAAUAAAGCCACUGUGCAACUACUAUCUUUCUGUUUUUCGUGUUUGUGUGGCUACAGAGAUAAUUCGGAUCCUAAAAGAAAGUAACGAUUUCUUCCAUUACAAAUCUUCCGAAUUCUGGUUCCCAGAAUCUAACCAUAUGUAAAGGGUGGAUGUGUGGUUUACUUGAUUGAUUAUUUAAAUUAUCAUAUUCUUGAGUGUUCAUUGAUCUUUUUUUUAAAUAUAUAAUGCAUACAUGUUAGUUAGUAUAUUUUCGUUAGAAUAUACCGUUACCUACUGACCAAACAAGUUGUUCAAAGACUCUUUGUUUUGCAGGUAACUAGUAGAGGGUUAGUCGGGGCACGGAGGAGACGUUUGGUGGGUAUAGUUUUCUUACCCUUUUUGCUACACUUAUGUUUAUAUUAUGUGAUGUGUGGGUUUUUGGAGCGAUAUGCUUAUCCUAUAUAAUGUUGGUAUGAUAUUUUACGAAGAUUCUCUAUAAUGUAUAAAAUGUUUGAUAAAUAAAGCGUAAGCUUAACCUAAGUGGAGUCUUGGUCUGGGACAAACCAACUUAUGGGUUCAAAGUCGAGUUGAAAAGCCUUAACUUGAAUUUGUUAGGAUACAAAAACUCGAGUAUUCUAAGAACCUCGGACCGAAGGUCUGACACAUGUAGUAGCAUCUUUGAUCUGGUUAAAGUUGUCUAGUUCGUCGUGCAUGUUAUUGUUUGAUUUUUGCAUGACAAACUAGUCAAUAUUGACCUAGUCCGGAUCAGUGGUGUUACAUACUUGGGUGUUCGGGUGGUUUGACCUUAACAUGAUAUUCAUACUGAUUUUGUUACCUUUACUCGCGGUUGCCAUGAUUCAAAAUUCCUGUCAAAUUAACCCUAUAACAGUAGGAUUCCUGAUGUUCCAUAAUGCGGAACUGCGUCUAAAUAAAAAUAAAAAUAAUGAACUGGAAACUAAAUUUAAAAGUAAAGCUAACAACUAGAAAGUUUACCUUAAGGAUCAGAUGCUCAAAGGAUGGCUAUUGUUAGGUUUUUGUGUGAAGAAUGAACUAAGGGGUGAGGGUCUCUUUAUAUGUGGUAAGAAUGAACUAAAAGUAGUUUUGAGUCGUGGGUAGCAAGCAGGAUUUGGCCUGGCCACCCAAAAUGGCCAAUGAGAAACAGUUUAGUGUCCAGCUGCAAAUAUGUCCAAUAAAAACAAGAUUUGUGGCCAGCCACCAAAUUAACCAAUCCUGGUGCAACAUGACCAGUUUGGAGUUGGCCAAGUAAAAGGGACACACAUAUCCAAUUUCUUGAAAGUGACAAGCAGGUAGUUGUAUAGUCCAGAAGUUUUUGGAUGCACUCAACACCUCAUAUAAGGAUCCGAACGAGCCUGGUUUUUUAAAUGUAUCUUUGUCUGAUCCAGAUUGUCGGAAAGGGUUUUCUUUGGCCAAAACCUAGAAUUCCACGAUCAAAACAUUUCUAAACUAAUUCUAAGCUCAUUACUACCCAAAUAACUUAGAAUGAAUUUUCCAAAAUUUGUAGGACGGUCUAGGUUGAGCCACAAGCGUUUCUGACCUACUAAAUUUCCUAAAGAACCUUCAUGUACUAUUACUUAAUUCAAAACUCAAAUUUAAAAACCUUUGAAGAAGCUUAACAACACUUGGCUUUCCAUUCUGUUGUUCCACAAUCUUUUCCGAACUAUGAAAGAAUUAAUUUCUCGACCAGUGUAGCUAAUACUCUGACCUAAUUCAACUUGUACUUCAACCAUAACUACUGUGAUAUGUCCUUUGUACUCUGAUUUCUCAUUCUCGAACACUUCCAUUUUUAAUUUGGGUUUUCCGGUGCGUAAUAAGUUUCCUGAGACUUUAAACACUGAUCUGGGCAUCAAUUUUUCAAUACUAUUUCCUUGUUCCAAUUUCACUCUAAUGCUUUAUCCGUCUUUAUUUUGUUGAUGAUCUGCACCUUGUGCGGAAUAAUAUAUAUACCUAACAUGUUUUAAUUUUGAUGUUUAUUUUAAUAAAAAUUAAAUUAUUAAAUUAGAUUCACAUUUUUAUUAAUAUUAAAAAUUAUAAAACUUCAAAACUCAAUUGGUAGUGAACGUACUAGAUUAUAUUCUGUUAUUUCAUAGUUUUAUCUAUGGGAUGUAGAUAUUAGAUCAAAAUCUUUUUCAUAGUAAUAUUCAAAUUAGGAAACUUAAAUUUGAUAUUAAGAACAUUUUGUGAUAUAUGUGGACUGAAAAGAAAUCAUCAAUACUAUUAGAACAAAAGCACUUUUUAUCUACUUACAAAUAGUUUAGGUUGGACCAUCACAUUAAUUUAAUUUCUUAUUAUUUCUCCUCAAACUAGCUUAGUUAUAUAUCAUAUCUAACAUAUUAUUUUAAUGUUUUCAAAAUAAGAUAUCUAAAAAAAUUUUAAGUGUCUUUUCUAAGAUUACACUUAAUAAUAUCUUUUAAUAGUUUAUAUUUAAAUGUGAAUUUAUUUUUAUCUUUUAUAUUAACUUUUAAAUAAUAACAUUCUUAAUAAAUAAUAAAUAUUAUUAUAAAUGAAUAUUAAUUCAUUUAUGAUUAUAGAAUAAGAAAUAAAAAAUAUUCUAUAAUAUUUAUAUAUACAUAAUUCAUAAUGAAAAUGGUGGAAGAAUUAAUAAAUGUAAAGUUACUUAAUCCAUUUAUGAAAUAUUUUUAAAAAAUUUAAAAUUCAAAAUAAUUACAUAUACAGAAUAACAUAUAUUCAUGAAUUUUAAAAAUACUUCAACUUAUUAAAAUAAAAUAUGUAAGAUAUUUAAAAUAAUAAUUAUUUUUUAUUUAAAUAUACAUAUUCAAAUUAGAAUAUUAAAAUAUAAUUAAAUAUAUUUUAUUUUUUAAUAAUACAAUACUAAAUUAGUUGGUAUUAGUACCUAUACUAUUAAAAGAGAAUCAUUUUAAAAAAUGCUGUAAAAGUUCGUUGGACAUAUUCAUUAAUAGCUUAACAUGUUUUAUUUACCAAAAAUAUAAGCAAAGUUAAAAUAUAGAUAAGAAUAUCAAAAUUAACAUAUGUUCCUAAAAAAUAUAGUGGACAUUCUAAGUAGUUGAGAAAUUUAAUGGAUUUUGCAUUUUAUAUAAAAAAAUAAUUUAGGUAGUUAAAUUAAAAUUCGCAAAGGCAUGAAAAUCAAAUUUUUAAUUAAUAUGUAUAAUCAUAUAAGCAUGAAUAGAACAAUUGUUCUAUUUUUUUUUUCUUAACUUGAGUUUAUCAUGUAUGGUAUAAACACACAAUAAUUACACAACACAUGACUAUGAAAAGCCUUAAAAAAAGAUACAUUAACGUGAGAGAAUUUUAUUGUU